GCGAGUGAAGCGGCAACAGCUCAAAUUUGAAAUCUGGCCUUCUGGUCCGAAUUGUAAUUUGUAGAGGAUGAUUUUGGUGCGGUACCUUCCGAGUUCCUUGGAACAGGACGCCUUAGAGGGUGAGAGCCCCGUACGGUUGGAUGCCUAGCCUUUGUAAAUCUCCUUCGACGAGUCGAGUAGUUUGGGAAUGCUGCUCUAAAUGGGAGGUAAAUUUCUUCUAAAGCUAAAUAUUGGCCAGAGACCGAUAGCGCACAAGUAGAGUGAUCGAAAGAUGAAAAGCACUUUGAAAAGAGGGUUAAAUAGCACGUGAAAUUGUUGAAAGGGAAGGAUUUAUGACCAGACUUUUUCUAGGCGGAUCAUCCGGUGUUCUCACCGGUGCACUUUGUCUAGUUUAGGCCAGCAUCGAUUUUCGGCAGCGGAUAAAAGCUUCAGGAAUGUGGCUCCUCCGGGAGUGUUAUAGCCUGUUGUAUAAUACGCCGCUGGGGAUCGAGGUACGCGCUUCUGCAAGGAUGCUGGCGUAAUGGUUAUCAAUCACCCGUCUUGAAACACGGACCAAGGAGUCGAACAUUUAUGCGAGUGUUUGGGUGUUAAACCCUCACGCGUAAUGAAAGUGAACGGAGGUGAGAGCCCUUACGGGUGCAUCAUCGACCGAUCCUGAUGUUUUCGGAUGGAUUUGAGUAAGAGCAUAACUGUUCGGACCCGAAAGAUGGUGAACUAUGCGUGGAUAGGGUGAAGCCAGAGGAAACUCUGGUGGAGGCUCGCAGCGGUUCUGACGUGCAAAUCGAUCGUCAAAUCUGCGCAUGGGGGCGAAAGACUAAUCGAACCAUCUAGUAGCUGG
rnacentral:rRNA from 1 species